AUUGAACGCUGGCGGCAGGCCUAACACAUGCAAGUCGAACGAGUGGCGGACGGGUGAGUAAUGUCUGGGAACCUGCCCGAUGGAGGGGGAUCACUACUGGAAACGGUAGCUAAUACCGCAUACCAUCGGAUCUGCCCAGAUGGGAGUAGCUAGUUGGUGGGGUAACGGCUCACCUAGGCGACGAUCCCUAGCUGGUCUGAGAGUAUGACCAGCCACACUGGAACUGAGCCACGGCCCAGACUCAUACGGGAGGCAGCAGUGGGGAAUAGUGGACAAUGGGUGCAAGCCUGAUGCAGCCAUGCCGCGUGUAUGAAGAAGGCCGUCGGGUUGUAAAGUACUUUCAGCGAGGAGGCGUUACUCGCAGAAGAAGCACCGGCUAACUACGUGCCAGCAGCCGCGGUAAUAC
rnacentral:rRNA from 1 species